rnacentral:rRNA from 1 species
UGGGGAAUAUUGCACAAUGGGCGCAAGCCUGAUGCAGCGACGCCGCGUGAGGGAUGACGGCCUUCGGGUUGUAAACCUCUUUCAAUAGGGACGAAGCGCAAGUGACGGUACCUAUAGAANAAGGACCGGCCAACUACGUGCCAGCAGCCGCGGUAAUAAUCACUAGUGAAUUCGCGG